UGGCGGUCUUUACAACUUAGAGAAACUCGCUUUAUAAUCGUAAAUACUCGCUAAAUCUAACUUUACCAAAAACUUAUAUACCGCCGUUUAGAAUAUAAAUAAAUUUAAUAUUCAUAAUAUUAAUAAAAAUCAAAAAUCAGGUCAAGGUGUAGUAAAUGAUAAAGUAAAAGUAAGUUACAUUAAAAAUGAUUUAAGAAUUAAAACAUAAAACACUAUUAUGAAAAAGAAUUUAUUAGUACAUGUUAGUUAAAAUUUAAUAUAGAACAUCCACCUAAAGAUGC
rnacentral:rRNA from 1 species